UUAAAAUUAUUUCCAGAAAUAGAGGGUGCAAGAGCGCCCCUUGUCUUAUGAAUUUGCUACUUCAAGGAGGCCACAUUUAAUGCUCAUGCGUGAAGAAAAGCGUCUCCGAGAACAAUAUUGAAAGUGGGAGGCAGUUUCAGCGCCAUCUGCCCUCGGACUCGGAUCAGUACGAAUUAAAAUUGGUCACGUGACAAGGAGUUGACGCCAUGGAAAACUAUGUGCGCGAGCGCAGUUUCAGAUACAAAUUUCCUGCUUUAAAUAGUCUACAUGUGCCUAUUUUACUUCUAAUUAAACGACGAUAUCGUUGUGUGUUGCAACAAUGACAGUUAACAUUAGAAAGUUACAGAAUGGAUGAUGUAUAAACGGAUGAUUAGAAUAGGAGAAUCUUAUCUAUUAUUUAUGUCCUGCUCCUGGAAAUUAAUAUAAUUUUCUUUAAAAACAAAAUAACACAAAGAACGAUGAACUAUAUAUGCAAGCAGUUAUGUCAAACUGUAUCAGAAUUUGUGCACUUUGGACUCCCGUUAUCCCGGAAUUAUUUACAAAUCUUUUUUCUGGUGCACACAACAUUAAUUGCACAUUUUCGCGCUAAGGAACACGGAGUAGCACGUUGAAAUGACCCACCAAUGCUCUAAGCUCCGACAAAGGUUUUCUUCUUUUCUUUAUUCACGUCGUAUUCAGGAACACAGUGUCACGAUUUCCGAUGUAUGUUGCGAAUCUCCUGUAUUUGUUUGCGAUCUUAUUUCCUGAAGUUUAAUCUUGGUAAUCACCAGACACAUGCAAUCUUUUAUUAAGCUUAAAAAUUCGACGCUAUAUUUACUUCUUGAGAGAUAUGCAAGAAUCAAAAUGCGUAAUCUGCCGACUGUCAAGUCAGCCACGGAAAACACACGCGUUACCCCGAUAAUGGUUUUAUUCUAUCUAAAGAUGGCGGAAAGCGACGCGCAAUCGAGCGACGCGGACGCCACCUGUCAUUUGCGUCGAUCCAGAGUUACAGCGGAACGAUAGAACGGAAGUAUGUGGAACGAAUGGAGCGAGAGAUAGAUCUCUCUCUCUCUCUCUCUCUCUCCCUCUUUCCAUUUCUUUUUUCUCAUCUUGACCUGCUGAGGUAUUCAACCGCCACCUCUUUGUAUGUUCAGCUUAUUCGAUUCUAUCACGGAACAAAGAUGAUGUCAUUCCCGGAAGAAGUUUUAUAUAUAAAUGUAAGUGAGAAUGAAAUAUUUUCUGCCACAAUGUCGACAUUUCUGGAAUACUAUAACAUUCUUUGUGGAGCGGCGAACUAACCAAGGUGGCAUUAUCGGGUGAUAGAUGUCUGCUCAACGGAUAGGUGAAAAUGACCAUUGGCAUUCCCGUGGGGACGAGGACGAGGAGGCAGAGGAGUAAGCUUCCAGCGGGUACACAGUCGUAUCGUCUGGCGCGCUUGAUGGAGUAGUCUCGCGGCUAAUGUCGAGCGAGGGUGAGUACAGGCCACGACGUGGACGACGAACGAUGCCUGAUUCAUCACUUCGCUCGGUAGCGCUCACGCUACUCCCAAGACGCAGACAAAUCAACGUACAUUCGAAAAUCGGAAGAGGAGGCGCACGCCAGGCGCCAGAACCUGGCCGGAGUACCUCCACAACCGUCAGGAUCGAUUGUAACUGGUGUCCCCGUGGGAAGGAAUCUGACUGCCCGCUAUAUCCUUGAAGAGGAUCACUGACCUCAGCGUAUCGACUACGCGAUUCAAACAGACGCUUUUACAUUAGAGGAUUGGAUUGGAGGGUCGACGUAUCACAGCACGGCGAUCAAAGCACGGAGGUCGCCAUGUAAUUAAACGCGGAUGAUUACAACGGAUCGUGUUCCCGCUUCAAUGACAAUCAGACUGGUUGUAUCUAUGUAGAUCGUUAAGUAUUUGAUUAUAUCAGAGUUCAUUAUUUAUAUAAGAAAGUCUAAGUUCAUGCUUUCUCAGAUUACAUUUUUUCAGAUACUGUCCGCGAGACACAACUCCUGCGGUACCGUUAUCAUCGCUAUCAUCGAACAGAAAGCUCUCAGUGAAGGUCAUCGAAAUCAGUGCACUCUGCAUGCCGAUCGGACGAUUUUAUGUGGCACAGCUGCGUUUAUCCGUCUCUUCCAAAUGUCGCGCGGCAUAUAAGUACCGGUUGACAACUCUUAUCGCGCUAAUGCUCGCGUGUGUGUAUGUAUAUGCGGAUAUGUGGAUAGAUUAUUGAAAAUCCUGAAACGGUAUCAAAGGAGACUCUGCCAUCAUAUGAGGAAAGAUGAUAAAAGUGAGCGUUUUCUCUAUAUCUCGUAAAAUCAGUCUCACACAUACAUAUACAUCUUACCACCCGCAAAACCACUCGUGUGCGCGACAUAUAAAUUUAUGCAUAAAGUACAUCACAAAAAUGAUAUGAAAAUAAUGUUUACUGAUUCUAUCAGUUAUCGAUUUUGAAAAGAUAUUUAUAAACUGAAAAUUGCAGUAAUAAUGAAUGUAUGAUAAUAGCUCGAA